rnacentral:rRNA from 1 species
AGCGACAGGCCUAACACAUGCAAGUCGAGGGGUAACAUUUCAGCUUGCUGAAGAUGACGACCGGCGCACGGGUGAGUAACGCGUAUGCAACCUACCUUUUACUGGGGGAUAGCCCAAAGAAAUUUGGAUUAAUACCGCAUAACAAUUAAGAAUCGCAUGGUUUUUAAUUUAAAACUUCGGUGGUAAAAGAUGGGCAUGCGUAGCAUUAGUUUGUUGGUGAGGUAACGGCUCACCAAGACUAUGAUGCUUAGGGGGUCUGAGAGGAUAGUCCCCCACACUGGUACUGAGACACGGACCAGACUCCUACGGGAGGCAGCAGUGAGGAAUAUUGGUCAAUGGGCGCAAGCCUGAACCAGCCAUGUCGCGUGCAGGAUGACGGCCCUAUGGGUUGUAAACUGCUUUUUUACAGGAAUAAACUUUACUACGUGUAGUAAACUGAAGGUACUGUAAGAAUAAGGAUCGGCUAACUCCGUGCCAGCAGCCGCGGUAAUACGGAGGAUCCAAGCGUUAUCCGGAUUUAUUGGGUUUAAAGGGUCCGUAGGCGGGCUUUUAAGUCAGUGGUGAAAUCCCAGAGCUCAACUCUGGAACUGCCAUUGAUACUGAAAGUCUUGAAUUUAGUUGAGGUGGGCGGAAUACGUUAUGUAGCGGUGAAAUGCAUAGAUAUAACGUAGAACACCGAUUGCGAAGGCAGCUCACUAAGCUAA